GUUCUAUUGUUCUUGUCUUUUGCUUUAGUUUAUAACAAUAUGUUCUUAUUCUUUCAAGUUUAAACCAGCACCUUUCGUGGCUUCUCCCCACAAUGAGCAAUUAUACUUUCUCUUAUUUUCUUUUUACAAUUCCUAUAAAACCCAUUAAAAAUGCACAAAAUCAGAUCAUGAUUCUAAAACUCUUCCCAAGCAUAAAACUCUUCUUGGGAGAUCGAGCGCAGAUAAACUCACCCCCACCUUAGAAUUCGGUGAAUGUUGCUUCACUCCUUAUCUCUGUCGUUUCUCUUCUUCAUCUUCCCUUACCCCAUGUUUUAUUUUCUCUAACUGUUUGUUAGUUUUUUUACAGGUCUGGACCCAGAUAAAUAAAUUAGAUCUGACCGAAAAUAUAACUUUUCGAGACUUUCGUUCCACCACAACAGUGUGAAUUCUGCUCUUUCUUUUAUGUUAUUAGACCCCAAAUAAACUUAGGCGAACUACUAGAUCUUGGCAAAAUAUUUGGCCGGAGUUUGAUUUCACUUGAAUACUUGCUCUUCUAAUUCUGAUGUUUUUCUAUAACUUUGACAAUAGUUCACAUAUUUUUCCUUUGUGGUUUGUAUGGAGAUAAAUUGAUUGAUUAUCUCCCAAGAGAAUCACUAAUGGGUGACGAAAUGAGCCUUUUAGGCCUUUGUUUUCCAUGACGAUAAUUAUUUUUCCAUAAAGAAACAGUCACCGGAUUUUCAAGCAUAAAACUCUUCUUGGGAGCCGUCAAAGAUAAUUAAUAUUUCUUUUGAUUUUAAUAUUUUUUUUAAUCAAACCCAGUGUAUUCACUCUCUUUUGAAAGCGUGUUACCACGCAUUUCAUCUGACUCGGCAAAAUAAACGCCACAUACGUUUGAUCAACGGUCAUAGUGGUUUAAAAUAUAAGUUUUAAUCAAGUAAAAUAUCUGGAUGAAAACAAAUAAAGUAGAGGGACCGGCAUGACAAAGUGGCACAAGUAUAGUGUCAUUUAGUCCAUUCUGCC
rnacentral:lncRNA from 1 species